rnacentral:rRNA from 1 species
AUGAUCUUACGGCCAUUGCAGGUCGUGGGAUGGCACGAUGGAGGUGGUCAGCUGGAUAAGCUAGUAGGGCAUAGUCCAGGCUCUGCACGGUCUUGUUCGUGGGAUGGAAUGAACGCUGAGGAUCGCUGCAAGCAUUUUGUUUGGGCCGUUAGAGGCCAUUUCUUUUGUAACAUAAUAAAAGGAGAAAAAGAAAUACAGAAAAGCUGCAAGGGUUGUGCGCAGCGCAAAAAACCUGCUUGUGCCAUUGUGUUCAUUGUGUGUGAGCUGAGAAUUGUGUUGUCAUUUCAUACUAAGAAGCCUGAUUAA